rnacentral:rRNA from 1 species
AACGAACGCUGGCGGCAGGCUUAACACAUGCUAGUCGAACGCCCCGCAAGGGGAGUGGCAGACGGGUGAGUAACGCGUGGGAAUCUACCGUACCCUACGGAACAACAGUUGGAAACGACUGCUAAUACCGUAUACGCCCUACGGGGGAAAGAUUUAUCGGGGUAUGAUGAGCCCGCGUUGGAUUAGCUAGUUGGUGGGGUAAAGGCCUACCAAGGCGACGAUCCAUAGCUGGUCUGAGAGGAUGAUCAGCCACAUUGGGACUGAGACACGGCCCAAACUCCUACGGGAGGCAGCAGUGGGGAAUAUUGGACAAUGGGCGCAAGCCUGAUCCAGCCAUGCCGCGUGAGUGAUGAAGGUCUUAGGAUUGUAAAGCUCUUUCACCGAUGAAGAUAAUGACGGUACCCGGAGAAGAAGCCCCGGCUAACUUCGUGCCAGCAGCCGCCGUAA